rnacentral:sRNA from 1 species
CCCAUUUGAUGUGAUGAAGACGAGAAUGAUGACUGCAACGCCAGG